rnacentral:rRNA from 1 species
AAACUUUCAACAACGGAUCUCUUGGUUCCAACAUCGAUGAAGAACGCAGCGAAAUGCGAUAAGUAAUGUGAAUUGCAGAAUUCCGUGAAUCAUCGAAUCUUUGAACGCACAUUGCGCCUCCUGGCAAUCCGGGAGGCAUGCCUGUCCGAGCGUCAUU